UACGGAGGGGACUAGCGUUGUCCGGAAUUACUGGGCGUAAAGCGCACGUAGGCGGAUUUGUAAGUCAGGGGUGAAAUCCCGGGGCUCAACCUCGGAACUGCCUUUGAUACUGCAAAUCUCGAGUCCGGAAGAGGUGAGUGGAAUUCCUAGUGUAGAGGUGAAAUUCGUAGAUAUUCGCAAGAACACCAGUGGCGAAGGCGGCUCACUGGCCCGAUACUGACGCUGAGGCACGAAAGCCAGGGGAGCGAACGGG
rnacentral:rRNA from 1 species